rnacentral:rRNA from 1 species
AUUGAACGCUAGCGGGAUGCCUUACACAUGCAAGUCGAACGGAGAGGCGAACGGGGGAGUAAUGUAUCGGAACGUGCACAGUAGAGGGGGAUAACUAUGCGAAAGCGUAGCUAAUACCGCAUACUAUUGGAGCGGCCGAUAACGGAUUAGCUUGUUGGUGGGGGAACGGAUCACCAAGGCGACGAUCCGUAGCUGGUUUGAGAGGACGACCAGCAACACUGGGACUGAGACACGGCCCAGACUCCUACGGGAGGCAGCAGUGGGGAAUUUUGGACAAUGGGGGAAACCCUGAUCCAGCCAUCCCGCGUGUGCGAUGAAGGCCUUCGGGUUGUAAAGCACUUUUGGUAGGAAAGCGGUACCUGCAGAAUAAGCACCGGCUAACUACGUGCCAGCAGCCGCGGUAAUUC